ensembl:lncRNA
GGAAAGAGCUGGGCACAAAGGUGGCUGCUGUCAGCAGGACCCAAAUGAAUCUGGGACAUGGAGGUGGCAGCCACCAGCCCCAACCAGCCCAGACCCACUCCCCAGGAGACCGAUCCCUGCAGUGCUGGCACUCUGCUAGGUCAAUGCCGUGGAAACAGCAGAGCCCCAUGGGGUUAUGGGGUACCAGCUCCCAGCCCCUUGGGAAGGUAGGUGGGUGUGGGUGAGACCCUCCCCCCCCCUUCCACACCCACCAAACCCCCAGGGGCUAUUAGGUUCCUCAGAGUUCCAUUUACAGGAGUGAGGCAGGGACGUACCAGCUCCCGUAUCCCGACCCCCCUCAGCCCCGGUGUCACCCAAAUCCUGGUUCCCAGGUCUGAGCCCCGCGGCCCCCCCGCAGCCCGGCCCUGCUGCCUUUGUGCAGCCUUACAAAGGAGAACCUGUCCAGGCUGCUCCAUGUCCCAGGAGCUGGCUGAUAAUUAAACAAAAGCAAAAUAGCCUUGGCAUGAAAUCUGACCUUUCCAGAACUUGGGGGUGGGGGGGAGGAAAGAGUAAUUUUGCAUAAUUUCUGGUGGCUUUUCUUCUUCUUGCAUUAUGUUUGUUCUGUAGGCAUCUCAGUGCCCAAAGGUGCCAGGGGAGCAUGGAGUGCCCUCACUGUGAUGCUGAUUAACGUGGCCCCAUGGAUGGAGGGAAGUGUUCUCAAGGCAAGGAUGGGAUGAUGGAAGGAUGUCCUGAUCCUCCCAGGUGAAGACUUCUCCAUGCUAUAGGGGUGCCAAUGCCUGGGACACGCUUGCCCUGUCCCCAUUCUCACAUCCAAAUGAAGUUCAUCCCAACUCGGAGAGCAGAUUGUCCAUUUUUCCACCCUGUGCUUUACAGAGAGCCCUGGCACUGAGGGGUGCCAAGGUGCCCAAACUGCCCCCAAGAAAGGACUUAGUCCCCUGCCACUGGGACCAAGGAAAAGUCCCCAAACACCCAGCAUGGUCGUGCCCCUCCCAUGGGCCACCUCCUAUCCAUAUACAACAAAGCCUGGCAGCGAAUUAAUCUUCAACUGGGCACCGAGGAUUGUUGCUGGAACUUUAUUACAUCGUGUCCUGCCCAGCGCAGCGUUAACCAUUAACCCGGUGGCUCUGAUAUCAGCUCCAGCACCCUGCACUUCAGCUAUCCCUGACAGCAUCUUAUCUGAUCGCACGGCCAUAAAUCUGGGCAUGGAGCUGCCUGAAAGCACCCACGCCUGCAGCAACCCCAGGGAGUUAUCGUGGGGUGAGAAGGAGGAAGAAGGAGCAGGUGAAGGUGGCAACGCCUCGCUUCUCCCACGUCCUUCGAGGGUGUCCUCUGCUCUGCAGGGGGAACGUUAGGAGGGGAUGUCUUCACGGCUGGCACUUCUUGGCCAGGUGCUGUGGAUUGAGUUCGCUUUGUUUUCCAUUCACACCCUUUAUGCGCGCAAUCUGUAACAGCUGCAAUUCUUCCUCCUCCUGACAACUGUCACUGACCCCCCACCAAAGGUAAUUAAAAAGGAGAGGAAAGCUCAUUUCCUCCAAAGCCAAGCCCUGCCUGGCACCCUGCCCCAGCACACGUGAUGUUGGUGACAAAUGCAUCCAGGACUUCUGCCUGGUGUGUGGCAUCUAUCCCAGCCCCACUCCAGGGCUCCCAGGUGUGAAAGCAGCCCUGCCCCAGUCCCAGUGCAUUCUGUCUUGCUUCCCAAGCAGGGCCAAAUUCCCCA